rnacentral:misc_RNA from 1 species
GAGCAGAAGGUAUGGUAAUGUCUUUUAGGUAAUUGUCAUCUGCCUUCUCUUGUUCUGGAGAGUCCAUGGUAAUCAACGGUUCAAGUCUAUCAUCUGCAACAAGAAUUGCUGCAGCUCCACCAUUUUGUGCAUUCCACGCCUUCGUGGUGAAGUAACAAUCCCCUCGAUCGGCAAGAACAAAGGUAGGGAGACUUCCAGGUUUGGACUUGAAAGAGAUACCGGCAUCCUCAAAGCUCUUGCAUGCCUUCUGAUUGGCUUUAGGAUAAUGCACGAUGCCAGUCAUUGUGCCUCCAUAUUCAGGAACCCCAAAAUUCCCAAUCGCACAUUCGUAAACACCCUUGAUGGAAUCUG